GCUUGCUUAUCUGAUGUUAGCGGCCUUUGGGUGAGUAACACGUGGGUAACCUACCUAUAAGACUGGGAUAACUCCGGGAAACCGGGGCUAAUACCGGAUAAUAUUUUGAACCGCAUGGUUCAAUAGUGAAAGACGGUUUCGGCUGUCACUUAUAGAUGGACCCGCGCCGUAUUAGCUAGUUGGUAAGGUAACGGCUUACCAAGGCGACGAUACGUAGCCGACCUGAGAGGGUGAUCGGCCACACUGGAACUGAGACACGGUCCAGACUCCUACGGGAGGCAGCAGUAGGGAAUCUUCCGCAAUGGGCGAAAGCCUGACGGAGCAACGCCGCGUGAGUGAUGAAGGUCUUCGGAUCGUAAAACUCUGUUGUUAGGGAAGAACAAAUUUGUUAGUAACUGAACAAGUCUUGACGGUACCUAACCAGAAAGCCACGGCUAACUACGUGCCAGCAGCCGCGGUAAUACGUAGGUGGCAAGCGUUAUCCGGAAUUAUUGGGCGUAAAGCGCGCGUAGGCGGUUUCUUAAGUCUGAUGUGAAAGCCCACGG
rnacentral:rRNA from 1 species